GACGAACGCUGGCGGCGUGCCUAAUACAUGCAAGUCGAACGCAGUGGGGACGGGUGAGUAACACGUGGGUAACCUCCCAUCAGAGGGGAUAACACUUGGAAACAGGUGCUAAACCGAUACUGAUGGAUGGACCCGCGGUGCAUUAGCUAGUGGGUGAGGUAACGGCCCACCAAGGCCACGAUGCAUAGCCGACCUGGGAGGGUGAUGGGCAAACUGGGAACGGAGACAGGGCCCGGACUCCUAGGGAAGGCACCAGUGGGGAAUCUUCGGCAAUGGAGGAAAGUCGAACCGAGCAACGCCGCGGGAUGGAAGAAGGUUUUCGGAUCGUAAAACUCUGUUGUUAGAGAAGCGGUAUCUAACCAGAAAGCCACGGCUAACUACGUGCCAGCAGCCGCGGUAAUUC
rnacentral:rRNA from 1 species